UCCUUGACAGACAGGCAUGACUGGCUGGAC
rnacentral:piRNA from 1 species